AACCUCAGGUCAGGCGAGAUUACCCAUUGAAUUUAAGCAUAUUAAUAAGCAAAGGAAAAUAAACUUGCUAAGAUUCCCUUAGUAAUAGUGAGCAAAUUGGAAAGAGCCCAUCUUGAGAAUCGAGCUCCCCUGGUAUUUGAAUUAUAGUAUGGAGAAGUGUCCUCAAUGAUGGAAUGGGACAAAGUCCCCUGGAAAAGGGUACUAGAAAGGGUGAGAGCCCCAUUAUGCUUGGACCCUGUCAUACCAUAAGGCAUGGUCUAUAAGUCAAGUUGUUUGGGAGUAAAGCCCUAAUCAAGUAAUAAAUUCUAUCCAAGGCUAAAUAUGAGUGAGAAACUGAUAGUGAAAAAGUACCAUGAGGGAAAGAUGAAAAGGACUUUGAAAAGAGAGUCAAAGAGUGCUUGAAAUUGUUAAAAAGUAAGCAGAUCGGGGCCGAUGAUGCAUCCUGAUUGGAUGUUAAAUGGUGAAAGCUAGUCCACCAGUUGGCUUUGGUCGUGGAUAGAUAUAGGUUGUAGUGGAGUCCCAAGCUUAGGCUUUUGAUAUGCCCAUAAAGGCAUCAUUGCCAUGAUCAUAGAAUGUAGCAUGUACAGUCUAGGCAUGCCUUAGCACCUGUGUAAUCUUGGUGCCAGCCUAUGGGCUUUCCAUCCGACCCAUCUUAAAACAUGGGCCAAGGAGUCUGACAUGUGUUUUAGUCAAUGGGCUAGGAAACCCAUUAGGCAUAAAGAAGUUGAUUGGCAAGAUCUUUCAUGGGUGCAUCACUGACCUACCUUGAUUUUCUAAGAAGAAGGGUUUGAAUGCAAGCAUGAUUGUUAGGACCUAAAAGAUGGUGAACUAUGCCUGAGAAGGGUAAAACCAGAGGAAACUUUGGUGGAGGCUCACAGCGAUACUGACAUGUAAAUCAUUCAUCUGACUUGGGUAUUAGGGUGAAAGACUAAUCAAACCAUCUAGUAAUUGGUUGCUUCUAAAGUUUCCUUCAAGAUAGCUAGAGCCCUUAGCGAGUUCUAUUAGGUAAAGCCAAUCAUUAAAGGCAUCAAAGGUGCAACACUCUCAAACUAUUUUCAAACUUUAAAUAAGUAGGAUGACACAGCUACUUUAUUAAGCCGUGCCACUUAAUCGAGAGCUCCAAGUGGGCCAUUUUUGGUAAGUAAAACUAGUGAUGCAGGAUGAAUCGAAAGCCAAGUUAUGGUGCCCAACUACGCGCUAACCUAAAACCCACAAAGGGUGUUGGUCGAUUAAGACAGUAAGAUGGUGGUCAUGAAAGUUGAAAUCUGCUAAGAAAUGUAUAACAAUUAAUGUGUCAAAUCAACUGGCCUUGAAAAUGGAUGGCACUUAAGUGGUGACCCAUACUGGAGAGUCAGGGCAAGGGCCAAGCCCUGAUGAGUAAGAGGGCAUAACGAUCAUCGUAAAAUCCAAGACAUGAGCCUAAGCAAAGCAGCUAUUAAUGUAGAUUUUGAUGGUAGUAGUAAAUAUUCAAAUAAGAACUUUGAAGGUCGAAAAGGGGAAAAGGUUCCAUGUGAACGGCACUUGCACAUGGGCUAGUCAAUCCUAAGAGAUAGGGGAAGACUAUCUGACAGUACGUCUAGCAUGAGCUUUUAGAUGGAAUCAGGUUAAAAUUUUUAAACCGAGAUGCAACAGCUUACGACAAUAUUAAAGAGUUCAAAGAUGUUGGUGAGGGCCUUGGAAAGAGUUAUCUUGUCUAUUUAAUGACCUACCCAUCUAAGAAAUGACUUAGCCGAAGGUAGGGUCCAGUGGCUAGAAGAGUAUCGGGUGUCACUUGAUGUUCGGUACACCCUCAUUGGCCUUUGAAAAUUUAGAGGAUCAAGGGCCAUUCACACCCAGUUAUAUUCAGAGCCACAUCAAGUCUCCAAGGUGAGCAGCCUCUAGUUGAUGGAACAAUGUAGGCAAAAGUAGUUAGCAAAAUGGAUUUCUAACCUCGAUAAAAGGAUUGGCUUUAAAGGCUAGGCACAUGGGUCCCAGUCUUGAACCCAUUGGUUACUGGUGAACUAUUCGAGCUUCUUCUACAAUAAGAAUGGGUCAUUGUAUGCUGAUUGAGGGAUGGAUUGGGAAUAGCUCCCUCGGGAGCUUUCCUCGAGUGACAAACAGUUAACUCAAAACUAUUAUGAAUAAGAGGAAUCCAACUAUUUAAUUAAAACAAAGCAUUGUGAUGAUCCCUAUGGAUGCUCAUGCAAUGUGAUUUCUACCCAGUGCUAUAAAUGUCAAAUUGAAUAAAUUCAACCAAGCAUGAGUAAAUGGCAAGAGUAACUAUGACUCUCUGAACCUAGCCAAAUGCCUUAUCAUCUUAAUAGUGACACGCAUGAAUGGAUUAAUGAGAUUCCUAUUGUCCUUGUCUACUAUCCAGUGAAACCACUCCAAGGCAAUAGGCUUAGUAGAAUUAGUGAUGAAAGAAGACCUUGUUGAGCUUAACUUUAGUCUAACUUUGUGAAAUGACUUGAGAGGUGUAGGAUAAGUGGGAGCCCUUAGGUGAAAAUGAAAUAUCACUACUUUUAAUGUUAUUUUACUUAUUCCAUGAAUUAGAGGCAGUUCACGACCCUUUCUUUUGGACUCAAGGCUAGCUACAAUCUAUCAAUUUAGGUGGAAGACAUUGUCAGGUGGGGAGUUUGGCUAAGGUAACACAUCUAUUAAAAGAUAACACAAGUGUCCUAAGAUGAGCUCAAUAAGAGCAGAAAUCUCAUGUGCAAUAAAGGGUAAAAGCUCAUUUGAUUCUAAUUUCCAGUAUGAAUACAAAUAGUAAAAUCAUGGCCUAUUGAUCUUGUAGACCUUUAGAAUUUAAAGCUAAAGAGUCAAAAAAGUUACCACAAGGAUAAUUGGCUUGUGGCAGACAGGCAUUCAUAACAAUGUUGCUUUUUUAUCCUUCGAUAUUGGCUCUUCCUAUCAUUGUUAAGCAGAAUUCACCAAGUUUGGAUUGUUCACCUACCAAUAAGGAAUGUGAGUUGGGUCUAGACCAUCGUGAGACAGGUCAGUUUACCUUACUGAUGGUAGCAUCGUAAUAAUAAUUCAACCUAGUAUGAGAGGAAUAAUUAAUUCAGCCAAUUGGUCAUCACACAUGGUUGAAAAACCAGUGGCAUGAAGCUACCAUGUGUUAGAUUGUGAUUAAAUACCUUUAAGUUAGAAUUUGGGCUAGAAGUGACACACAUGUCUUUU
rnacentral:rRNA from 1 species